CCCUUGGUGGUGCAGAUGGUUAACGCACUCAGCUGCUAACUGAGACAUUGGAGGUUCAAGUCCAUCCAGAGGCA
rnacentral:tRNA from 1 species